CUCACACCCAAUCAUUAAUAUUUUGUGAUGGUGGAAGCACCUCAGGCAGCCAUUACAGCUGUGAAUGCCAUUACAGCUGUGAAUCAUUUUGAAUAAGAUUCUAACAACUUUGCACAACUUUUAGAGUAAAAAAUACUGUAUAUCGAUUGGUUUUGUCAACAUUGCUCAAGCUCAGUAGGCUGAAUUUGGUUAGGAAUCAUUGAUGGACUGCAAUAUUCAAACAUUGUCUGUGAUUUUCAAGCAAAUUUAAGUCAGGACUGAGACUCAAGCACUAAGCAAUACAACUUGGAAAGCCAUUCUGGUCUGUUUUUGGCAGAAAAAUGUGUGUAAUUGUCCCGCUCUAUCCCAGGGUUAGAUAUUCAGACAACUCCCCAGUCGCUGCCGGUGGCAAGCAUACCCAUAACAUGAUGCUGCCACCACAAUACUUGAAAAUACAGGUUUCACUCUGUGUUGUAUUGGAUUUAACCCAUCACAUCUGAAGUUUUUAAAUUUAGACCUAAAUGUUCACUUCCUCCAUGUUGUCUUUUAGUAUUACUUAACAGCCUUGUUGCAAACAGAAUAGAUUAUUUGGAGUGUAAUUCUUUUAAACACAAACUUCCAUCUUUUCACAUAUUUUCAUACAGUCCAGUAAUGUGGAGUGAAUGUAAUGUUGUUGAUACUCUGUAUUUUCAAUUAUUGUGGUAGCAGCAUCAUGUUAUUGGUAUGCGUGUCACCAGCAGGGACAAGGGAGUUUGUUAGGAUCAAAAGAAAUAUGAAAGAAGCAAAACCCAAGUAAAAACUUAGAGGAAAACCUGCCUCAGACUUCUGAAUAUACCCCUGGGUGGAGUUUUAUUUUUCAGCGAGACAAUACACAUUUUAAUGCCAAAGACACACCCGAAUGGUUUUCCAAGUGCUGUUGAGUGUUCCUGAGUGGUCCAGACUCAGUCCUGAUUUAAAUCUGCUUGAAAAUCAGAGACAAGUUUUGAAUAUUUCUGUACAUCAAUGAUUCCCAACCACUGAGCUUGAGCAAUUUUGACAAAAACAAUGGAAUGCCACCUGAGAGGCGCAGCCUUCUAAGGCACUGCAUCGCUGUGCUUGAGGCAAUUGGAUAUCACAAAAUUGGGGAGAAAAAAGGGGGUAAAAUACACAACAAAACAUUUAUGAUAUACUGUAUGUUGCCCCAACAGUAGUGCAAAGUAGGUAGAAUCUUAUUCAAAUCUGUGCGUAAAGUAGAGAAUCUCACAUGCACAGAAGUUUCAAACCUUUACCUAUUGGGAAGAGGGUUCCAGAGGAUAUUUAUGCUGUGUUCAUAAUGUCUAGUCAAUUCUUAAAUACGAGCAUACGACUGGGAAAAAUCCACUUGAACACCCCUCCAACUCGUAAUUACUAGUGGUAAACUAGUCUAUCAUUUCUGAGCUCCCACAUGAUGAACUCCGACUUCACCUACUAUUUUUAAUUAAUUAGGAAAAGUUUCUAUAUAUAUUUUUUCAAGGCUGCGAAAUGUGACAACUGUGCAAGGAGCGUGUAGACUUUCAAUAGGCAUUAUAGCUCUGCUGGAACCCAUCUGUCUUAUAGGUAGAUUAGAUAAUAUAAAAUCCAUGUGCUUACUGUGGGUGAAAAGCUUACCCUUAGAUCAGACCGAUAUGAUUAUUUAAUUUAUUUUACCCCAAAAUUGGUAGAUACAGUCUUGUCCCAUUGCUGCAACUCCCGUACGGACUCGGGAGAGGUGAAGGUCAAGAGCCAUGCGUCCUCCCGAAGCACGACCCUGCCAAGCCGCACUGCUUCUUGACACACUGCUCGCUUAACCCGGAAGCCAGUCGCCCCAAUGUGUCGGAGGAAACACCGUCCAACUGCUAACUGUGUCAGCGUGCAUGCGCACAGCCCGCCACAGGAGUCGCUAGAGCACGAUGGGACAAGGACAUUAACCUGGUAAAGGAAUACACUUUCUGGCCUAAAUGCAACACAUCACUGAGUAACUAUCUCGUUAUUUUCAAGCAUGGUGGUGGUUGCAUCGGCAAAUAUUGGGGAGUUUUUCAGGAUAAAAUUAAAUGGGAUGGAGUUAAGCUGUGAGAGGAUUUCACCUUUCAGCAGGACAAUAAACUACAACACAAAGCCAAAUCUACACUGGAGUUGCUUAUUAAGAAGUCAGUGAAUAUUCCUAAGUGGCCAAGUUACAGUUUUGACUUAGAUCUGCUUGAAAUACUAUGGAAAGAAAAUUGCUGUUUAGCCACUAUUCUGAUAAUAAUAUGCAAAUAUUGCACAUUCCAGGUGUGCAAAGCUCUUAGAAACUUACCCAAGAAGACUCACAGCUGUUAUCGCUGUCAAAUGUGUUUCUAAUGUGUAUGGACUCAGGGAGGUGAAUACUGAUGCAACGUCUAUCUACAUUUGAUUAAUAAAUGCUUGCAUUUUUCUUCAACUUUGACAGAGUAUUUUGUGUAGAUUGUUAACAAAAAAUGACAAUUACAUCUAUUUUAAUCCCACUUUGUAACACAAAAAUUAUGUGAAGAAAUCCAAGGGGUCUGAAAACUUUUGCAAGGCAAUGUUCAUGUAGAAAUGGCAUCAGAACAUUAACAUAAGGUUUAACCAUAUGUAUCUUUCCAUCCUAGGUCUCUGCUAGAUGCACAGUGAAGUGUCCACAUCAAUGGUCACAGAAAUGUCUUGAGGAGUGCUGUACUGGUCUGAGAGUGGAGGAAGUUAGUAGGAGUAUUGUCCCAGUAUCCCAGGUCCAGUGGUGAUGUCAUGGCCUCCACGGAAUGAUCCCAAACUCAGCAGUAGCAGGACAGCCAGCAGACAGGAAGAGAUCACUGUGAU
ensembl:lncRNA